rnacentral:lncRNA from 1 species
AGCUUUCUUAUUGAUUGUGGUUAAUCUGUGUCUUGCUUUAUCAGUAACUUUAGCGUCCAGAAGGAUUCACCAGUCCUUGAAGUUGAACUGGAUGUUGAUGAGAUGGCACGAAGUCACAAAGCAUAGGUUGUGUGCUUUGAGGAAAAGAUAUCCUAGGAUUACUGAUUUGGUUGUACCCACUUUUUCUUGUUUCCUCUUAUUUAUCCGAGCGAAAUUCAUUGGAAAAAAUAAAAGUUGUGUAUUAGUGAUUUUGGUACAUUUUCCUUUGACCAGAUGCUGUCAUCCUAAGUGUUGAUCUUUCCUCUCAAUGAGGCGCCGUACGAACUGUAAACCUUUGAGGGCUUCAGUUCUAUUUAGAACGUAUUUCAAGGCUGAAACUGUUGUAUGGAUGAAGUUUGGAAAAGAUAUAUCAAUAUGAUUCACUUUCGUCCGGGUUGUGGCCAAUUGACAAAGAAGACAGUAUUUAUUAAAGUAGCUUGAACAUUCCUUUCACAGACCCAUUAUCAACAAUACACUAAUACAGCACGACUUGGCCCAUUCCCCAAACAUCAGAAGAGAGGUCUCACUGUAACUCCUUGUUUUGGUUUUAUAGUAGCACUUUCUUGAACAGUUUUUCCUGACUUUUUGUAGUGUGUUUUUGCUUGUCCGUUAGGGGACAUCCAACAAAAUUUAGA